AAAGUCGUAACAAGGUUUCCGUAGGUGAACCUGCGGAAGGAUCAAUACAAAAAGAGAGAGGGUUUGGGGAUAAGUGGAAAAAAGAGAAACGAGUAGACACGAUUAAAUCAUACCUUACACACAACUCAUAACAAUGGAUCUCUGGGCUCUU
rnacentral:misc_RNA from 1 species